rnacentral:rRNA from 1 species
UACAGAGGGUGCAAGCGUUGUUCGGAAUUACUGGGCGUAAUGGGCGCGUAGGCGGUUCUGUAAGUCCCGCGUGAAAUCCCCCGGCUCAACUGGGGAACUGCGUGGGAAACUGUGGGGCUAGAGUUCAGGAGAGGGAAGCGGAAUUCCGGGUGUAGCGGUGAAAUGCGUAGAUAUCGGAAGGAACAUCAGUGGCGAAGGCGACUUUCUGGACAGAUACUGACACUGAGGCACGAAAGCGUGGGGAGCAAACAGG